AAUCAACGCUGGCGGCGUGCCUCAGACAUGCAAGUCGAACGAUUAAACUUUCCUUCGGGAAAGAUAUAGAGUGGCGCACGGGUGAGUAACACGUAAGUAAUCUACCCUCGAGUGGGGAAUAACGUCCGGAAACGGACGCUAAUACCGCAUAAUGCAGCGGCACCGCAAGGUGACAGUUGUUAAAGAUUUAUCGCUUGAGGAGGAGCUUGCGGCAGAUUAGCUAGUUGGUAAGGAAUGGCUUACCAAGGCUACGAUCUGUAACCGGUCUAAGAGGACGGUCGGUCACACUGACACUGAAUAACGGGUCAGACUCCUACGGGAGGCAGCAGUCGGGAAUUUUGGGCAAUGGGCGAAAGCCUGACCCAGCAACGCCGCGUGAAGGAUGAAGUAUUUCGGUAUGUAAACUUCGAAAGAAUGGGAAGAAUAAAUGACGGUACCAUUUAUAAGGUCCGGCUAACUACGUGCCAGCCGCCGCGGUAC
rnacentral:rRNA from 1 species